GACGAACGCUGGCGGCGUGCUUAACACAUGCAAGUCGAACGGAAAGGCCUCUUUCGGGGGGUACUCGAGUGGCGAACGGGUGAGUAACACGUGAGUAACCUGCCCUUGACUUUGGGAUAACUUCAGGAAACUGGGGCUAAUACCGAUUAGGAGCGCCUGCUGCAUGGUGGGGGUUGGAAAGUUUCGGCGGUUGGGGCUGGACUCGCGGCUUAUCAGCUUGUUGGUGGGGUAGUGGCUUACCAAGGCUUUGACGGGUAGCCGGCCUGAGAGGGUGACCGGCCACAUUGGGACUGCGAUACGGACCAGACUCCUACGGGAGACAGCAGUGGGGAAUAUUGCACAAUGGGUGGAAGCCUGAUGCAGCAACGCCGUGUUCGUGAUGACGGCCUUCGGGUUGUAAACCGCUUUCGCUCAUGACGAAGCUUUGUGUGACUGUAGUGGGUAAAGAAGCCCCGCCUACCUACUU
rnacentral:rRNA from 1 species